rnacentral:rRNA from 1 species
AUUGAACGCUGGCGGAAUGCUUUACACAUGCAAGUCGAGCGGCAGCGCGGGGGCAACCCUGGCGGCGAGCGGCGAACGGGUGAGUAAUACAUCGGAACGUGUCCUUAAGUGGGGGAUAGCUCGGCGAAAGCCGGAUUAAUACCGCAUAAGCUCUGAGGAGGAAAGCGGGGGCUCCGUAAGGACCUCGCGCUGUUGGAGCGGCCGAUGUCGGAUUAGCUAGUUGGUGGGGUAAAGGCCCACCAAGGCGACGAUCCGUAGCUGGUCUGAGAGGAUGAUCAGCCACACUGGAACUGAGACACGGUCCAGACUCCUACGGGAGGCAGCAGUGGGGAAUUUUGGACAAUGGGGGCAACCCUGAUCCAGCCAUUCCGCGUGAGUGAAGAAGCCCUUCGGUUGUAAGCUCUUUCGGACGGAACGAAAUGGUUAGGUCGAAUACGCCU